rnacentral:SRP_RNA from 1 species
CGUGGGUCCCGUGUUAGAGACCGUCGCCCAACCCCGUCAGGUCCGGAAGGAAGCAGCGGUAAGCGAUUGGUCUCUGUCCACGUCAGGCUCACGAGU